GAUGAACGCUGGCGGCGUGCCUAAUACAUGCAAGUCGAGCGAACAGACGAGGAGCUUGCUCCUCUGACGUUAGCGGCGGACGGGUGAGUAACACGUGGAUAACCUACCUAUAAGACUGGGAUAACUUCGGGAAACCGGAGCCAAUACCGGAUAAUAUAUUGAACCGCAUGGUUCAAUAGUGAAAGACGGUUUUGCUGUCACUUAUAGAUGGAUCCGCGCCGCAUUAGCUAGUUGGUAAGGUAACGGCUUACCAAGGCAACGAUGCGUAGCCGACCUGAGAGGGUGAUCGGCCACACUGGAACUGAGACACGGUCCAGACUCCUACGGGAGGCAGCAGUAGGGAAUCUUCCGCAAUGGGCGAAAGCCUGACGGAGCAACGCCGCGUGAGUGAUGAAGGUCUUCGGAUCGUAAAACUCUGUUAUUAGGGAAGAGCAAAUGUGUAAGUAACUAUGCACGUCUUGACGGUACCUAAUCAGAAAGCCACGGCUAACUACGUG
rnacentral:rRNA from 1 species